rnacentral:rRNA from 1 species
GACAGAGGUGCCAAGCGUUAGGCGGAAUCACUGGGCUUAAAGCGUGUGUAGGCGGAAUUGUAAGUACCUUGUGAAAUCCCACGGCUCAACCGUGGAACUGCUCGGUAUACUGCUUUUCUUGAGCCACUUAGGGGCUGUCGGAACAAACGGUGGAGCGGUGAAAUGCGUAGAUAUCGGGGAGAACACCCGUGGCGAAGGCGGUUCUCUGGGACGGUACUGACGCUGAGACGCGAAAGCGUGGGGAGCGAACAGG